CCUACGGGAGGCAGCAGUGGGGAAUAUUGCACAAUGGGCGCAAGCCUGAUGCAGCGACGCCGCGUGAGCGAUGAAGGCCUUCGGGUCGUAAAGCUCUGUCCUAAGGGAAGAAUAAUGACGGUACCUUAGGAGGAAGCCCCGGCUAACUACGUGGCAGCAGCCGCGGUAAUACGUAGGGGGCGAGCGUUAUGCGGAAUUACUGGGCGUACAGGGUGCGUAGGCGGCCCUGCAAGUCAGGAGUCAAAUCCCUCGGCUAAACCGAGGUCAGCUCUUGUAACUGUCGGGCUUGAGUGCAGGAGAGAAGAGCGGAAUUCCUUAUGUAGCGGGGAGAUGUGUAGUUAUUAGGAGAACCACAAGUGGCUAAGGCGGCUCUAUGGACGGUAAAUUCCGCUGGGGCACGAAAGCGUGGGGAACGAACAGGAUUAGAGACGCCUGGAGUC
rnacentral:rRNA from 1 species